GACGAACGCUGGCGGCGUGCUUAACACAUGCAAGUCGAACGAAGUGGCGGACGGGUGAGUAACGCGUAAUCAACCUGCCCUUCAGAGGGGGACAACAGUUGGAAACGACUGCUAAUACCGCAUACUGAAGGACGGGUUUGCGUCUGAAUAGCUCAGUGGGGGGGUAACGGCCCACCAAGGCGAUGAGCAGCAGCCGGUCUGAGAGGAUGGACGGCCAAAUUGGGACUGAGACACGGGCCAGACUCCUAAGGGAGGCAGCAGUGGGGAAUCUUCCGACAUGGAGGAAAGUCUGACGGAGCAACGCCGGGUGAGUGAUGACGGCCUUUGGGUUGGAAAGCUCUGUUAAUCGGGACGCGGUACCGGAAUAGAAAGCCACGGCUAACUACGUGCCAGCCGCCGCGGUAAUAC
rnacentral:rRNA from 1 species